rnacentral:sRNA from 1 species
AAUAAUGUUAAUGCAAAAGCCCGUAAUUCAAACAAAAAAAAUUCUUAAUCCCUUUAGACCCGAAAACACAAAUUACAAUAUUAGUUUCGUCCCAAGCGUCACUCGAACUGGUGAUUUCUAAGUCUCGCUUAGGGUCGGUCUUUACCAAUAGAGCUAACGACACUUGGUUCGUUAACAUUUUCACGAUUAAAAAAAAUUUGUAUUCGAAAAAAUCACCAAUUAUUGUAACAUGUAAACGCAAAAAGAAAACGUUGAAGCAUUGUGAAUUUGUUUCAAUACCUUGUUUCAUCCACCUCU